rnacentral:rRNA from 1 species
AGUGAACGCUGGCGGCAGGCCUAACACAUGCAAGUCGAACGGCAGCACAGAGGAGCUUGCUCCUUGGGUGGCGAGUGGCGGACGGGUGAGGAAUACAUCGGAAUCUGCCUAUUUGUGGGGGAUAACGUAGGGAAACUUACGCUAAUACCGCAUACGACCUACGGGUGAAAGCGGAGGACCUUCGGGCUUCGCGCAGAUAGAUGAGCCGAUGUCGGAUUAGCUAGUUGGCGGGGUAAAGGCCCACCAAGGCGACGAUCCGUAGCUGGUCUGAGAGGAUGAUCAGCCACACUGGAACUGAGACACGGUCCAGACUCCUACGGGAGGCAGCAGUGGGGAAUAUUGGACAAUGGGCGCAAGCCUGAUCCAGCCAUGCCGCGUGGGUGAAGAAGGCCUUCGGGUUGUAAAGCCCUUUUGUUGGGAAAGAAAAGCAGCCGGUUAAUACCCGGUUGUUCUGACGGUACCCAAAGAAUAAGCACCGGCUAACUUCGUG